GAUGUUGGGAUGCUGUUUGCCGGCCCGUAGAAAACGGAGGGGGCGAUUACUCUUCUGUCACGGUGGAAGGAGCUCGGAUACUGCGUGCUGCAAGCAGCUUCUGCAAGUCGUCGGAACAAGAGUCAGCAAUCUGAAUAUACAUAUUCGCUGAAAAAACAGGUCUCUAUUAUUGCAUUUUGCUGUUGGCUAUCCUUUGGGUUUGAGGUCCAAGCUUUACAUCUCUAUCAUCUAGUUUGGUGGCUGAGCCUUAUUAAUGACUAGCAUAUGCAACUUGUGAAGGCUGACAAUGGACGCACAGAUAAGGUGUUGCGGUGUCAGCUCACGUUAGGCACCUGAAAGGCCAGAACAGAAAAUAUCAGCGUGAGGAAGAUAUGCAAAACUGAAUGUCUCACCAUAUCUUUCAUUCGUCGCCUACAUUUGUCAUUUGCUUAGAGCAUGCGGCCUUUUUGUACUGCUGCUGUGAUGAGAACCAUUUGUUAUUUUAAUUCGUCGUUUGUUGUACUCUAGUAAUUUGGCACAGACAAACAUGAAGGUUCAGUUUGGUUGCCUGAAUUUCACACAUCUUUUGACCAUCA